AGCGGAGGAAAAGAAACCANCAGGGAUUGCCCUAGUAACGGCGAGUGAAGCGGCAACAGCUCAAAUUUGAAAUCUGGCUCUUUUAGAGUCCGAGUUGUAAUUUGCAGAGGGCGCUUUGGCUUUGGCAGCGGUCCAAGUUCCUUGGAACAGGACGUCACAGAGGGUGAGAAUCCCGUACGUGGUCGCUGGCUAUUGCCGUGUAAAGCCCCUUCGACGAGUCGAGUUGUUUGGGAAUGCAGCUCUAAAUGGGAGGUACAUUUCUUCUAAAGCUAAAUAUUGGCCAGAGACCGAUAGCGCACAAGUAGAGUGAUCGAAAGAUGAAAAGCACUUUGGAAAGAGAGUCAAACAGCACGUGAAAUUGUUGAAAGGGAAGCGCUUGCAGCCAGACUUGCUUACAGUUGCUCAUCCGGGUUUCUACCCGGUGCACUCUUCUGUAGGCAGGCCAGCAUCAGUUUGGGCGGUAGGAUAAAGGUCUCUGUCACGUACCUCCUUUCGGGGAGGCCUUAUAGGGGAGACGACAUACUACCAGCCUGGACUGAGGUCCGCGCAUCUGCUAGGAUGCUGGCGUAAUGGCUGUAAGCGGCCCGUCUUGAAACACGGACCAAGGAGUCUAACAUCUAUGCGAGUGUUUGGGUGUCAAGCCCGAGCGCGUAAUGAAAGUGAACGGAGGUGGGAACCCGCAAGGGUGCACCAUCGACCGAUCCUGAUGUCUUCGGAAGGAUUUGAGUAAGAGCAUGGCUGUUGGGACCCGAAAGAUGGUGAACUAUGCUUGAAUAGGGUGAAGCCAGAGGAAACUCUGGUGGAGGCUCGCAGCGGUUCUGACGUGCAAAUCGAUCGUCAAAUUUGGGCAUAGGGGCGAAAGACUAAUCGAACUAUCUAGUAGCUGGUUCCUGCCGAAGUUUCCCUCAGGAUAGCAGUAACGUAUUCAGUUUUAUGAGGUAAAGCGAAUGAUUAGAGGCCUGGGGGUUGAAACAACCUUCACCUAUUCUCAAACUUUAAAUAUGUAAGAAGUCCUUGUUACUUAAUUGAACGUGGACAGUUGAAUGAAACGUUAUUAGUGGGCCAUUUUUGGUAAGCAGAACUGGCGAUGCGGGAUGAACCGAACGAGGGGUUAAAGUGCCGGAAUAUACGCUCAUCAGACACCACAAAAGGUGUUGGUUCAUCUAGACAGCAGGACGGUGGCCAUGGAAGUCGGAAUCCGCUAAGGAGUGUGUAACAACUCACCUGCCGAAUGAACUAGCCCUGAAAAUGGAUGGCGCUCAAGCGUGUUACUUAUACCCCUCCGCUGGGGCAAAAUUUACGCCCCAGCGAGUAGGCAGGCGUGGAGGUCCGUGACGAA
rnacentral:rRNA from 1 species